rnacentral:rRNA from 1 species
CCCUACUAUGCUAGGCCGUUAAUCAGACAGCUACGACACCACGCUGUCCGCCAGAGAACUACGAGCAAACAGCUUAAAACUCAAAGGACUUGGCGGUGUCCCAAAACAACCUAGAGGAGCCUGUCCUAUAACCCGAUACCACACGUUUCACCCAACCGUCCAUUGCAACCAAACAAUUCAGCCUAUAUACCGCCGUCACCAGUCCACCUUGUGAAAGCCACCAAGUGGGCAAAAAAGCCACACCGCUAAUACGUCAGGUCGAGGUGUAGCUAAUAGGACGGAAGAGAUGGGCUACAUUUUCCUACCACGACCACACGGAUAGCAACAUGAAACACCUGCUUCAAGGCGGAUUUAGCAGUAAAAUAAAUCACCUUCUUUACUUUAACCCUGCUCUGGGACACGCACACACCGCCCGUCACCCUCUUCAAACCCGCGCACAAAACCAUUACUAAUAAAACCCGCACAACCCAAAGAAGAGAUAAGUCGUA